UUCUUGUAGCUCUUUGAGUGUGGUAUUGAAGGUACUAAGGAUGAGGGACAG
rnacentral:tRNA from 1 species